AAGACCGCACGACCUUGAUGGAAAUACUUUAACUUCGGUUGAAAUUGUUAUACGUUUGAAGAAAUUAAGACAGAAAGAAACGUAUACGCCGGCUUGUCAGAGUUAUUCGAUGUAAAGCUCCAAGUACAAAUAGAUGCUUGUAUACUGUGUUUUGUAGUAGUUUUAUAGAAUGGGUAACUGUCGCUGCGUGGAUGUGAGAUUCAGAUGAAUGUAACUACAGCUCUUGUAACUAGCGAUAUUUUGUAACUAGAAUUUGUAAUAAAUUAGGAAAUGGUAUAUAUUGAUUUAAAUAGCAUGUGAUUUGAGGUAUUCCCCGUAAAGAUGGCAAGUAGCCAAAGUCAUUUACCGGGGCUUGAAGGAAGGACGGUGCUACUGAUUUUGUGUGAACACCCGUUAGGAUUUAUUUGAUCUAGCAUUUUCUGUACUUUGUGGGCUACUGAAAGACGUGACAUACUACAAGAACAAAAUGAGUCAGGGAGCAGGAGAUGCCAUUCCUCGCAUCUUAUUAAAAGCGAUGGUUUCUUUGAUGCCACGGAGGUCAUAUCCACUCCAAGCCCUUCACUCCUGGCUCCACAGAGAAAAUGACUCCAUCGAGCAGGUAGAAGUACCAGUCUGUGGCCCUCAUCGCUGAUAGAACCGGAUUGGUACAACUUUGAUCUGCACAAACUGCCUGAAACUUCCAAAAAGUGGGGUGUUUCCUACUUACUAACUACCUUAACCUAUGAACAUCUUUAAUCAGCCAAUGGAGAUCAAGGAUCUGGAACAUCCCAUUCUACAAAUGAUAUUUUACAUCUCAUUACAAAUGUAUUCUAGGUUCCGAAAGGUGCAAAGAUAAUAGAUAUAUAUUGGGGACUUCAGAAAUUUGGUACUAUUACGUACAUUGGACUUGGCAAUGACAAUGCUGUAAUAGAGUUUGCAGACAGGAUCUCAGUUGGUAAAGUACUGUCGAGCCACCCAGUUAGAGUGAAAACGAAUACAGUGCGUGCUUCACAUGAGCCCGAAUGGAAGUCCAUUUCGGGACUGGUCAACAUGCACGAGACAUUUACACUAGAUCCAGACAUAAAGGCAGUCCUGCAGAAUGAGGACUCUUUUAACCAGAAAAUUGCCGAUCUGGUUAGUAUGGCCGAUAAAUUGACAUUGGACUUUGAUGAUGACAUCGAUGAUGGUGUCGGCAGUCGGGAACGUCAUCCUGUGUGUGCCGUGCUGGAGAGGAUACUUCCUGACGAGUUAGUUCCCAAUGUGAGAGUGUACCCGUUUGGCUCUCGUGUCUCCGGUACUGCUCUGGAGACGAGUGACCUCGACAUCUUCAUAGACUGUGGUGACACGUUCUACGGCGAGUAUGUCCCGACCGUGGAGGAGCUGGUGUCCAUUGUACAGACCGUGAAACGACAGCUAGCUAAGGCGUGGCCCGAGUUCAACCACGUGACGGCCAUUCCCAGGGCGCGUGUGCCUAUCGUCAAGUUCCUCCACUGUCCCAGCAACACGCGCUGUGACGCAGCCUUCACAAAUGGCAUCGGUUGCCGCAAUGCUCGGCUGUUGAGAUUUGUGUUGUCCCUGGACAGCCGCAUCCGGCCCCUCUUGUUGUUCCUCAAGCGCUGGGUUUACAGCAUAGACUUGACGCCGGUAGCCAGGAACUCGCCAAGACCGGAGCUGACGUCUCAUGCUCUUGCUAUGGUCACCUUCACCUUCCUACAGACGGUGAAGCCUCCCAUCCUACCUCCCAUAAAGGGUAUGAAGGAAGCUGCAAACUACAGCCUAAAGGUUGCAGGUUGGGAAACCGCAUUUUGCAACGACAGCGAACAGUUCCGCAUCACAGAUCCCCACGACAGGCGGUCUGUCCGUGAACUGCUGCUGGGUUUCCUGCAGUGCUUCCAGCGGAUCGACUGGCAGAGGAUGGCAGCAUCUCCGCUGGAUGGAGCGUUUGUGCCACGCCAGUCGGUGCCGCGCAUCGUGCCUACGAAAUCUGCAGCGAUGGUGGUUCUCGACCCGUUCAACCUGAGUCGAAACCUGACCGUGAACGUCAGUGACGUGGCACUGUGUCGACUCUGCGCGACUUGUGCAUUGACAGUGAGGGAGAUGACUUCUCGCUGAUGACAGAUGUGCAAUCCAUAGGAGAACAUCUGGGAGUCACAGAAGUUGAAGAGGUGCACCUAGAGAAAUACAAGUGCAGCACCAGUGACUUCCAAUUUUUUUUUUGGUCAAGCCGAGCACCAAAGCAACUUGUGACUGUGUGAUACUUCAUUUAUCUUCCAGCUACAGUAGCAUAUAAUCUACUCUAACCACUUCUGGUUUUGCACGUAAGAUGUAAAGCAGCAUAUGGUAUCGAAACACAUCUGUACUCAUGACAACGUAUUAAUUUAUUUAAGGCGCUAUACUUGAUGCACAAAAGUGUCUAUUGUGAUUUUGCUAAUUGCAUUAGUAGAGCUUAAAUUAUGGCAGUAUUCAGCCCUAAAAAGUUUGGGCAAACAACCACAAAAUUUCAGUAUGAAGUUUGUGCAUAUGACAGUGAAGACGACAAAGAAAAUGUAUAAUAUGUUUUGUUGACUUAGGGCACUGCACAGUAUAUUAUAUUAGUUGAUUCUGUUUGUAUAUAUGGUCAUGUCAUGUCUUGUCUUUUAAGUUUUCCAUUGGUUAAUAUCAAAAUUGUUAAAAUGUUGCUGGAAGAAAAUAAUGUAAUUGAGCAAGUAGUCUCAUAAGUUACUGCCCAACAUAAAGCACGGUUUCUUGGAGAAACUGGACUUUUUAUGGCAGUGUUGAAUCUUUUCAUUUUGGGAAAGGUUAUGUACAUAUGUAUAGAACAGAAAUCUCAUAGAAAGGAAGAUGAAUUUAAAAACAUUAAAAAUAUAUGUAAAAUUCUAUGUUAUUGCAGGAGAAAAUGAAUCUGAAGUGUUGCAGUUAAGUUUUCUUUUUUCAAAGUUUUGUAACAUUUUGUAUGUGGAUUGUGUUAUAAUGAUUAUCGGCAUUGUCGAACUUUUGUAGUUGUUUAAAAUCAUAUUUGAUUUAAAAGUUUAGUAGGGGUUGAAGGAUAAUGGUAGCUUCUUAUUGUAUUUAAAGUAUUUCUAUAUUUACAUACGGACAGUGAAAUUAUGUUUCAUCAUCUUUUGGAUGUGCACCUGGUAUAAUAAUAUUGCCCCUCCUAAUAUUUCAGCUCAUGACCCUACAAUCAUCUUAGAGGUGAGUCACGGGCAGAAUUUAAACCACUUGACAAGAUACUAUCGAGUAAGUGCAUGUGCCUCGGAGAUAACACUGUUGACAAUGAGAGUGUCAGUCAAAGAUAAAAUUUGAUGCAUGUGAGGCUGAAACAAAGAAAAUGCAGAGUCAGAAAAAUCCACAGAUCUUACUAACUAUGUGGCUGAUUAUUAAAUGUUGAAAUGCCAUUUAUUGAAGACUCAGAAAAAUAGUUCCUCUGGGUGUGCACACAAAAUGAGUGAUUUGUUGAGCUGGAAACAUUUGUCUCAAUUGAUCAGGUUGUCUACUAAUUAUGUUUCUAUAGCUCCCUUGAUCACCAAAUCCCAAUGGAGUGGGUUUGUGGUGAGCAUCUACUUUUCUGCAAUCUAGGGAAUGUGCAGUGUUCAGCCACUGUAGACUUGUUGGGCUUCAGAAGGCGUAUGUGUUACUGGUGUUUGAUGUGAUGUACUUGUUCUGUUUGUGUUAUUUGCCCUAUGUAACUUUUUCCACAUUUGUGAGGAAUUUCAUAUAUAUCUGCUCUUUGUAAAAGAUCGUUUUUAACAGAUCCCAGAAAAGCUGCCAUUUUGGCCAGCGGGAGAAAGAUCACAUCCGCUUCGUGCAUCCUGACUAUUCUGGCAGUCUUUGGAGAAACGUUAUCACAUACUGUAGAAAGUCCGUUGCUCUUACAUCUCUUUCUUCUUGCUCUUCCUUUGACCAUCCGAUGUUUUUGCUUGCAGAGCUCUUCUGAUGUUUUGUGUAUCGAGUUUUAUUGAAUACCUUUUCCACGUGAACCAUUUCACCGUAGAAGCUAUCUAGCAUCAGGCACUACAUGGGCCCUACAUACGAAUGUUUUAAGUAUGCUUAUAGUUUGCGAGGGAUGGUGGCAGCUAUACACCUUAAAGUAUAAAUUGGUAAGGAUGAGCUUACAGUACGUGCAUUGCACUAAAAGCCCAUCCUCCUCAUGUCAAGCUAUUGCAUUCGAAAACAGUAGACAGCCAUUAAUUUACUAUUUCAAUGUAAGUUUGAGAUUUUAAUGAAUAGUUAAGAUGUUCAAGAAACUCUAUCACUUUUUUCCUUGUCACAGGGCCAAACUGUGAAUGGGUCAACAUAUUUCCAGAACAGUGUCAGUUUUAAAACUGAAGAUUGAGUGAAUUUUCUUCAAAAUCCUCCAUUUAAAAUUAGCUACCACAGGUGAGAGGGGGCAAGCCAUGGUGUCAUCAUCAGUUUGUUCAAAAUGUUGAUUAUCGAAUAGAAAGUAAGUGGAGGUUAGCACCUGCUCAAAUAAUGUAGCUGUGUCUUUCUAAAACUUGUUACUAAUCAGGUAAACAAGGAGAUGACAUUGAUGUCAGUAGUAAAUCAGAACUUUUAAAUUUGUUAACCUACUACUAAAAUCUGCUGAGUUACGGGUGCAAUGUUCUCAUUUACCACUAAAAGGUCUCGACAACAAGGCUAAGUGUUUGACCAACCAAUAAGUAGAUCCACCUGUGUUAGUCACUAUUGGUCUACUAGUUAACAUUUGUAGUAUCUGCUGCAAGUGUGGUUUAUGACUUCCAUUUUGUUCUGGACCACUAUUUUGUUUCUAUAUUAAACUGUAGAGCUUGGGAAAGCUGUAUAAUUUGGAAGGUACAGAUCUGGAACUCAUCGGUCUGUUGGAGUGUCCUUGCACAGAGAGGUAUAUUUCAGAAGAAAAGCAGUAUUUCUUUGCACAGGCAGUGGAGCUCUUGUCAGUAUUGAGAUAAUAUGUUGGGUCUUCAAAUAAGUUGUUCUUCUCGAGAUAGAUGUCUCUUAGUAGCAAAACAGUGGCGUUACCUUUGUCCGCAGAAUGAAUCACCCUCUGGGAAUUGUUCUGGAGGUUAUAAAAUGUAGCCCUAUAAGACAAGGACGUGUUACUUUUGUGCAUUUGGGGCCUUGUUAAUACUUGGCACUUCACGCCCUAUUUCUUCAGCAGCAUUAUCUUGUAGGUUUCGGACAGCUUGGUUCAGUUCUUUCAAUAAAGGAUGUUAAUGAGGAGAGCUUCUGUAAUUACAGAAUUCAAACCCUUUCUUAAAAAAACUUUUGUCUACGUAUUCCCCACAUUUUGUCAGUGGAAUAGUGUCAGACACAGUACCAAUAAAAAAAUACGAAUGUUAGGCGGAAAUUGAGGAUUAAUCGGUCACGAAAUGGAAACCACAGUGAAAAUCAAAACUGUUAUAUUUUCAUGAGUUAGCUGCACCUUACUUUUACUUCUGUAAUAGUCGCCGUUCUGACUUGGACAUCUGUCGUAGUGUUGUAAAAACUUUCCAACACCCUCAUUGUAGAAGGCAGCCUCCUGUGCUUUCCAACAAUUUUCUGUGCUGUACUGCUGCUGGCUGUGUGUGCCAAAGUGUUGGCUUCAUAGCCAAUGAUUCACUUGAGCCGAGAUGAAGAUCAGAGGUAGCCACGUCCAUGCUGUACAGUGGAUGAUCACAUUUGGCACAAAAAAUGCUGCAGGAGCGUCUUCAUUGGCCCUCCAGUGUACAGUUGAGAAUAGUCACGAAGAAGGAACUGCACGACAGUUACAUUAUGUGGGCUUUCAUGAAAUCUGACAAUCUCUCGGCAGGCACCUGUACUUGCUGGGAGACACUAUUUUCUAGGAGCCUUUACACACUCGCUGUGCAUUCAGAACUGAGAAGAGCGCUGUGACGCUAUCUACAGGCGCACAAGUGAUGCUGCCCAACACUGUGCAAAGCUGUGUCAGGUUUUCUCAGUGGUUUCCAUUUCACAACUGAUUGUUCCUUACUUUCUGAAUUGCCUGGUAUACGUUUGUGUCUACAAUCACAAUUUAUUUUGCCUGCUGGUUACCAGUUUCAGUACACGGUACCAUCCUCGGGCCAUCCUGUCGCACCAAGUGACGUUCUUCCCUCGACCUGUCCUGGCGGGAAUUUACUGUCCUCUGCAGUCUCUGUAUCGGCCGUACUAGGUGAACCUACAGUUUUUUACUCCGAAAUGAACAGAUUCUCAUUUGUAGUUGCAGGGCUCCCCUCACGGUGAUCCGUAUUUUGCUGGACUGCCCCUGCAUUUUGGCCCUUCACACUAAAUAUGUCCUCCCACCUUCCUUGUCUCAGGUGUUAGCGGUUGACCGUUGCACGGUUAAGUCUGUUCUGUUUUCUUCACGAAAGUGGUUUCUCCUCCUCUUGUUGCUGUUCUGGCAUUUCUUUCCCUCUUUGGUUGCACGUUAUUGCUUUCCCUUGGAUAGACUGUGCUGUUUGUGUUGUUCCUCUCUUGAUUUCUGCUAUGUUAGAUCAUGGCUCCGUUGACCUAGCUCGUUUGGGCCCUCCCCCAAAUAAGUCAACCAACCAACCGAGCAACUCAUGGCCAUCCCCUGGGACACAGUUGUCACACUUCCUUCUCAAGAAGGUUCGUCAUUAUUUGACACAUUUUCUUGGGAAGCAAUUAUGAUGACUGCUUGCCAGGGGAUGGCCUGUGGAUGGCAUACUGUACCGAAACCCUUAGCCUCUAGACAAAAUAAAUAAAUUGCGACUGCAGACAUGUGCACAUACUUUUUCAGCUAUUGUCGAGUUGUCCAGAUCUUAAUCCUUGUUAAAUUAAAAACAGAAAAUUUAAAUACGUAUUUCACUGUUUGGAAGGUAGGAGAGAGGUGCUCAUAGAAUUGAAGCUGUGGGGGCAGGCUACAGUCGUGCCUGCAAAGCUCAGUCAAUAAGAACAUUGCCUGCAGAAAGCAGAGUUCUGAGUUUGAGACUUGAUUGAGAUGUAGUUCUAAUUUAAUAGGCUGUUUCAGUGAUCUCCUCCUCUACAGAACUUGCUCUGAGAUAACACAGAGCAGGGCUUUUCAGUCAACACACUGUGCGAGUACACGGCAGCCCGAGCCAGUGAGCAGGGAGCGCUGUACCUCCUCCCCAGCAUCAUAACAAUGUGGGGUAUCUUGUAGAGAGCUGUGAGGAGACUUGAGAUGGAAUGAUGCAGAUACCGUGUAUUUCUCAGGCUAAUUAAUUUUGCAGCCAGAAACAUGCAAGUCCCUGCAAAUGAGAUUACACUGCUAUAAAUUAGACAAAUAAACUAAGCAUAAAAUUUUCUAUUAAGUAGUUACAUAUUUCUCAUUUUAUUUAGUCAGACAUUACAUGUGCAACAAUUUUUAACCAACUCCCACAUACUUCGUUAUCUUAUCCCCCCCACCACACACACACACACACACACACACACACACACACACACACACACACACACACGUUUUACGAGAGUGCCUGUAUUCAGUGCAGUUUGUGUGUGUGUGUGUGUGUGUGUGUGUGUGUGUGGGCGCGCGCGCGUGCGCGCACUUCAGAUCCUAAUCUGAUAGUUUCAUCAGAGACAUUUUAUUGUCUCUCAUUGUUGGAAACACUUGUUCUAAGUUGAACAGGAAACCAAUCAGUAAUAUUAUACCUGCAACCAUCUUGUAUAAACUAGUAAAUUGAUUCUGAGGAAAACACUUGUAGAAAUCUAGAAUUUGUCUUUAUAUUCCUUGCCACACAACUGGUCAUUUACGUUCAGACAAGUACAAAUCUUGUUGGUAUUUACGUGAUACAGACAUGAAAAACAACCUCUGGCACUAUCACCUUGUUAAAUCAAAAUUAGAAUUCUUCCUAAAGAUUACAUUGAGUAGGAGCCUAGCGUUCAAAGUAUGUAUUAAUAUCAGAGUCCUUCAGUGAAUGUAUUUUUGGAAAAAGAGCUGCAUUUCCUUCAUGGUGAUUUGAACUUGAAUAAAACCAUAAACAGCUGUUAAUUGACAGUUUAUUCACACCCAUAUUUGCAGCACCCUCAUGUGGUUGUACAUAGAAAGGAAAGCAUCCUUAUAUAUUUAAAAAACUAAGGACAGCGAAUUAAAAUAAAACAGAGUAAAAGUAUGUAGUGUAGUGUCACAUAGGUCAGCAUACAGUGAUGCCUCAAACAUUCAUAUUCAUAGAACACAACCCCAUGAAAAGGGUGAGGGGGAUGAGGCACUGUGGCAUAAAGAACGGUAGUUACUGUAAUAAAUACAACUGAAAGAGAAAUGGGUGAGACAGCAUAUAUACAGUGUGGGCCUUCAGCACAGAUAAAGCUGACUUACUAUAAGAUCCACAGAUGUCAGGAUUCCGCAUUAAAUCUACAGUCUCACAAUCAAUGGUGAUGUAUUUUAGGGCCUUAUUGUUCUCGGCACUUCAAUUCUUUGCAUCUUAUUAUUACUUUUACAUAACACGUGCUGCUUAUUUCCCAAGCAGCAAAAUCUAUAUCCGUGAGACAGCUGCUGAGUAGCUGUCCACGUUUUCAAAUUACACACACAAUUUUUCGUCGAAGUCUAUCAAAAAUACAAGUGCCAAUUGAUGUCCCUUUCCUCAUACCUAUACUAGUUACAUAAUAACCUGGUUCUGUUUGUUUUUGUAGAGAUAUUAGUGCAUUGGAUUUCGUUUUUCUUUCAUCCAACAAUUUUUGGUAAGAUAGAGAUCAGUGGUAAAUGUUACUUUCAAAACACUUAACUGAAAUGAAAAUAUAUGUUGUCUAUGACCUUUUCAAUUUGGUUGUUGUUAAAGAUGUGGUGUCUGAGAACUAUCCAGUAUAAUAAAGAAGAGAGAGAUACCAUAUUUAGGCCAAAUCGUGCAAAAUGAAAAAUACUGAUUCUUGCAACUGCUAACUGAAGAAAGAAGAGGAAGUCUUGGCUGUGGUACAUAGAUGGUGGACAUAACUACAUGAUAUCACGGAAUCUGAAAGUAGUUAAUAUUCAUUGGAAGGAGGAGACGUGAUUGAAUAGUUGUUAAAAUGCAAAGAAUAUAAGGCUAGUUUUGCUUUCUUACACUUCCUAUGGAGUAUUAUGCCUUAUCUAGUCAUAGUGUAAUUGUAUUUAGAAAGAAAAUUGCAGUAUUUAAUAAUUGUGCUUUUUAAUCACAUCUGAUUUGACAGAUUAUUCAUAAGCUCAUCUUCCUUUCUAUUAAAUAAAUGUAAAAUUUUGUUGUUGAGAAAGCUUAUUGGUUUUCCGUGAUAAAUGGAAGGUAAUCCUGUUCCUUUAGUAAUAUUAUUUGUCAUUCUGUGAUUGUGAAACUCCCAUGUUGUCAUUUAAAUAUUGAUUACUGUCACUAUGAUCAGGGUAACUGAGGCUUUUGUGAUUUGCCAACAGUAUAAAGCACUGUAGAAUCCAGUAUUUUUAACAUUGUGUAAAUUAAUAGCAAACUAAAUUGUCUGGUACUGUGCCUUGCUUUAGGUAAUGGUAGUGAUGAAUCACUCAACAGGCAAUUCUAAAUAAUAUGCUCUGAAUUGUAGCAUUCUGGUGUUACUAAGACAGAGAAUUGUAAAAUAUGCAGUAGAUUUGAACUGCAUGAAGCAGAUUCAAUGGACACAUGGUAAGAAAACUUUACAUCCACAUGUAAGGUGGUGGUCUGUUGUUUAAUGCAGAAACCUCCACUCCUUGAUGACAGUAGCUCUGUUUUUCAUGAAAAAUUAUAUUUGUAUUUGGCAUGUUUUGUUGUGUGUGUGUGUGUGUGUGUGUGUGUGUGUGUGUGUUAAAAGAUAUGUAGAAACGAGUGAAUCAUUUUUGAAAAACAUUUUUUCCCCUUCUAAUGUUUUUCAACCAUCUUUCAUAAAGUGUACCAUGGUAUUUAGGUUACAUGCUGAUGUAGAACCUGAUUACUUGGUCCACAUCCCUUAAGGUUCUCCUUCUGCUUUGUAUCUAUAGAAUACAAAAACUUAAUGUAGUGUUUGACAUAGUUGUAUGUGAAACAUUUUGUUUGCACAUAGGAAAGGGUAUUGUGAGAAACUAAAUAUGGCAAUGUAAGGAAUAGGAGGCCGUGCCAUUGAAUGUGAGAAUGGUAUUGUGAGUGCUGGGUGUAGAAUUAAGAGGUAAAAAAGAGACUUUUUUCCCAUCUGAUGUUGUGAUCUAAAAUCAAUAGUACAAUCAUUGUCUUGAUAGAACAAUUGAUGUUAUUUUUGCAGAUAGUGUCUCUAAGACUUGUAUUUUUCUAACCAAAGAAUGCCAUUUUAAUCAAUAGAAGUCAAUAAUUUUGUGUAUGAUAUUUUCCAGUUAUGUAUAUUUAUAGAAUAUAUAUUCAGUAAGUGAUAGGAAAACUGCAAUCUGAUCGCUACUCUAGGUGCAGGCCUUACCAAUUCCAGAAGGUCAUUAAUGAGAAUACCAACAAGAAUCUGAGGAUUCUGGUGUAGACGCUUGAAAGGAAACUAAUGGAUCAGAAUAAGAGUUCAUCUCUCAAAUAGUAGAAUAAACAGUCACAGAUAAAAACAAAACCUGACAAAGUCCAGUGUUUCAGACUCAAGGUUGUGUUACAUAGCAAAAGAGGAUGAGUAAUUUCCAAAAAGUCUAGUUCCCUUUAACAGUUUACUCUAUUGUCUGGUGAAGUUAGUCUUGGUUAACUUUUGUUUAUUUACACCUGCAUGUAAUUAAAGAAAAUGUUGUAAUAUAUUAUGUACCUUUGCGUCUGCCUCUGUUGGAAACUCCAAGGCUUGAGGUUCAGUACUGAUUCUUUGCAUUGCAACCAGCCCAUCCACAGUUCCUGUACCCAGUUAGUUUGACAAGACUGAUUUUGAUGAAGGCUGCAACUUUUAUUUAUUUAUUUAUGCAGUUUUCAGAUACUGCACUUAGUCAUUAGAGGAGAAUUCCUGUUUUACGUUAUUCCACUUUUGUCAUUUGGAAAUUUUGCUUAGAAGAAAUGAUAUGAAAAUAAUGUUGGAAAUGAUUAUAUUUUACUUAUGUUGCAAAUUAGUUUGCAACUUUUGGUACUUAGUCAUAUGUGGAUAAGAUGUGAAGUUAGCAUCAACGACACAGACCUGGGAAACGUGUUGGCACUCGAUACUGUGUGUUCCUUGCAUUUGGCAACAUGAAAAAUUAAAAAUGCUUCUCUGUUAGCAAUUUUGUCUCAAACUCGAAGAAAUGAGUCUAAACAAGACAAAUAGCACUUCCUCUGCACAGGAAUAUUCACAGUAAAACAGCUCUGUGAAAAAAUUAACUUGGCCUCCACAUCUGGAUCAUAUGCAUCCCUGCUGAUUCUGUGUGUUUUCUAGUGGCAUAAACCCACUUUCUAAUAGCUUACUAAUUAGACCUUUUUUAUUGCCUGGAAUCCAUUUUCCAGCUUACCAGCAUUAUGAUAAUCAUUGCAUGUUCCAAGAUAUUAUUAGAAUAAAAACAUUAAAGACAGAGAGAAUUAAUAUACAAUAUCAGUGAUGGGACCAUAUUGUGAAUUACCAGCACACGCACGCGCGCAUGAAUACUUGGGCUUUUGACAACUUCCUUAGUCAUCGUCGUCAGGGGGUAUCACCCUCGAUACCAGUGUUCUUCUGUUACAGACAUGGACAUAAUUUCUAGUGAAAUAUGGAAGUCCCACAUUCUGUGAUGUCUCCUUGAUGACAAUUUGGCCAGAUAAAGUACCUGGCAGCUACUGAAAUCUCUCUUGAGGAGAGAGGAAUCUUUGAAAGCUCAAGACUGACAAAUCUGACUCUGCAAAAAGUCUGUGAAGCAUUUUUUCAAGAAUGUCACUGUGAAAAAACCACAUUAUUAUUUUUCAACAAUUCUUUGUUAACUACUGUGCCAUUUGCCACCAGCCCAACAUAAGUUUGUUCUGUCUUGGCAUUGUUCUGAAUUUCUCAUACUCUUAAAUAUUACCGAAUAUGUUUGUUCAAUACCCUGGACAUAACCUUUGUAAACACACCUCUCACACAAAUUUUUUUUCAUUGUAUUUUUGUAUAUUAUGUCCAUCGUAUUUUUAUACAUUGUCACAUUCAGUUAUUUUCCUUGGCCUUUACUUUUCAUCUUCAUGCUCCUGUCCUGCUCUCAUCCCCUUUCUCACCUUUUUUUUUGAUUUAAUGUUUUUCCAUCCUAGUUCUUAAUUAUGUUAUUCACGUAUCUUCAUCUUAACCUGUCUUUACUUCUCAGUAUUAUCAUCAUCAUCUCCUCCUCUAGAAUGAAUCUGGCACUGCGUUAUCUUUGACUUCCUGGUGUCUCUCUCUAACCCCUGUCCUAAAUCUCCCACUUUCUUUUUUUUUGUCAAUAUCUAACCUUGUCCGCACAACAGGUGGUGAUCCCAACUUACCCGUCCUCCCUCGCUGAGGAAGGAACGAAUAGUUCUGAGAACUAUGCAUCAUAAGCAUUUACUUUCAUGCAUAUGAAUCGUUAGUGCUAAAUUUUUACCUUCUGUAGGUAAGAAGUGGUAAGCAGUUGUGUCUUACAAUUUAUCAUCAUAUUCUAUCAUGUUCAUGUUAUAGUUUGCUGGAAACACUUGCAUUUUCUGUAUGUCACUUAUCCAUUUACUUUUUCAUUUGCCUUUUUCUCCUAUUGCUAAGUAGUUGUGUCAAAUAACUGCCUGUACCAUCAUUUUUUAAUAUCCUGACCAUUUUGAUGUUUAUCACCAGUUCCUGACACAGGAUGAAUGUGUCUAGAGCCAUUCAAAGAUAAUAAAUAACUUACAGAAGAAAUUGUGUUACUGACUGAUAAACUAAUAGUAUUACCGCUAAUUUUGAUAUUUAAGUAAACAAUGUUUGCAAUGGAGCACCAUCUUUUUACAUACUUGUGAUGCAGAAAAUGUUUACUUAACAAUUCCCUAAAUGAAAACUAGCAGAGAGCUAACCAUGAAAACCACUCUUAACGCAUUUCAGAAAAAUACUGCAGCCACUUGGAGAAAGAGGCAGCAAUUUAAAAAGAAUUGGCAGAGGCCUCUCUGGAAUUUUUUGCUUAAGAUUCAGUUUGUAUAUCUCAUAAGUCAGCUGACAUGGGGUUCAGAUUGUGUUUUUCCUUUCCCCAUUCUUAUUUUUUCUAACUUACACAUCUGAAAAGGAGAAUGAAGGAAGCCUAGGAGAUCCUUUCUAUUCACUUAUUGCUUUUUCAUUGAGUGGCAAGUGUCACUUUUAUUGUUAACAUAAACAUUCACCAAAACUUUUGUCUUCCACAUUUUCCAUGAAUACUUCCUUUUUUUACGAAUGAAAAUGUUUAUGCUGAUGAGAUUGUGUGGAUGUAUAUUGUGAAAAUGUUAAGAGAGAUACUUACCUGAAAUUUUGCUGUGAUAUAGUAAUGUACCAGCUUAGAAAUAUUGUAGACUACAGUAUCAGAUGAACACUUAAGUAGAAACUGUUGUUUGCAAGAUGAUGAAACAUACAUUUAUGCUACUAUACUUUCUCAAAAGUGUGCAAUUUUUCCUUAAUAUAUAUUUUAAUGUUAAAGAAAUUAUUCUGUAUUAACACUCUUUAUUUGCAUGUAGACUUGGUCUCAAUUAAAGAUUGGUAAUCU